ACUCCUACGGGAGGCAGCAGUGGGGAAUAUUGGACAAUGGGCGAAAGCCUGAUCCAGCCAUGCCGCGUGUGUGAAGAAGGUCUUCGGAUUGUAAAGCACUUUAAGUUGGGAGGAAGGGCAGUAAGCUAAUACCUUGCUGUUUUGACGUUACCGACAGAAUAGGCACCGGCUAACUCUGUGCCAGCAGCCGCGGUAAU
rnacentral:rRNA from 1 species